ACGCUAUCUACAGGCUUAACACAUGCAAGUCGAGGGGCAGCAUGGUCUUAGCUUGCUAAGGCCGAUGGCGACCGGCGCACGGGUGAGUAACACGUAUCCAACCUGCCGUCUACUCUUGGACAGCCUUCUGAAAGGAAGAUUAAUACAAGAUGGCAUCAUGAGUUCACAUGUUCGCAUGAUUAAAGGUAUUCCGGUAGACGAUGGGGAUGCGUUCCAUUAGAUAGUAGGCGGGGUAACGGCCCACCUAGUCUUCGAUGGAUAGGGGUUCUGAGAGGAAGGUCCCCCACAUUGGAACUGAGACACGGUCCAAACUCCUACGGGAGGCAGCAGUGAGGAAUAUUGGUCAAUGGGCGAGAGCCUGAACCAGCCAAGUAGCGUGAAGGAUGACUGCCCUAUGGGUUGUAAACUUCUUUUAUAAAGGAAUAAAGUCGGGUAUGUAUACCCGUUUGCAUGUACUUUAUGAAUAAGGAUCGGCUAACUCCGUGCCAGCAGCCGCGGUAAUACGGAGGAUCCGAGCGUUAUCCGGAUUUAUUGGGUUUAAAGGGAGCGUAGAUGGAUGUUUAAGUCAGUUGUGAAAGUUUGCGGCUCAACCGUAAAAUUGCAGUUGAUACUGGAUAUCUUGAGUGCAGUUGAGGCAGGCGGAAUUCGUGGUGUAGCGGUGAAAUGCUUAGAUAUCACGAAGAACUCCGAUUGCGAAGGCAGCCUGCUAAGCUGCAACUGACAUUGAGGCUCGAAAGUGUGGGUAUCAAACAGGAUUAGAUACCCUGGUAGUCCACACGGUAAACGAUGAAUACUCGCUGUUUGCGAUAUACUGCAAGCGGCCAAGCGAAAGCGUUAAGUAUUCCACCUGGGGAGUACGCCGGCAACGGUGAAACUCAAAGGAAAUUGA
rnacentral:rRNA from 1 species